rnacentral:rRNA from 1 species
CCUACGGGAGGCUGCAGUCGAGAAUCAUUCACAAUGGGGGAAACCCUGAUGGUGCGACGCCGCGUGGGGGAAUGAAGGUCUUCGGAUUGUAAACCCCUGUCAUGUGGGAGCAAAUUAAAAAGAUCGUACCACACGAGGAAGAGACGGCUAACUCUGUGCCAGCAGCCGCGGUAAUACAGAGGUCUCAAGCGUUGUUCGGAAUCACUGGGCGUAAAGCGUGCGUAGGCUGUUUCGUAAGUCGUGUGUGAAAGGCGCGGGCUCAACCCGCGGACGGCACAUGAUACUGCGAGACUAGAGUAAUGGAGGGGGAACCGGAAUUCUCGGUGUAGCAGUGAAAUGCGUAGAUAUCGAGAGGAACACUCGUGGCGAAGGCGGGUUCCUGGACAUUAACUGACGCUGAGGCACGAAGGCCAGGGGAGCGAAAGGGAUUAGAUACCCGAGUAGUC